rnacentral:rRNA from 1 species
GACGAACGCUGGCGGCGUGCUUAACACAUGCAAGUCGAACGGAAAGGCCCCUUUGGGGGGACUCGAGUGGCGAACGGGGGAGUAACACGUGAGUAACCUGUCCUCGACUUCUGGAUAACUUCACGAAACUGGGGCUAAUACCUGAGAGGAAUCCUUGCUGCAUUGUGGUGGUUGGAAAGCUUCUGCGGUUUUGGAUGAACUCGCGGCUUAUCAGCUUGUUGGUGGGGUAGUGGCUUACCAAGGCGUUGACGGGUAGCCGGCCUGAGAGGGUGACCGGCCACAUUGGGACUGAGAUACGGCCCAGACUCCUACGGGAGGCAGCAGUGGGGAAUAUUGCACAAUGGGCGGAAGCCUGAUGCAGCAACGCCGCGUGGGGGAUGACGGCCUUCGGGUUGUAAACCGCUUUCAGCAGGGGCGAAGCUUGUGGUGACGGUACCUGCAGAAGAAGCACCGGCUAACUACGUG